rnacentral:lncRNA from 1 species
AAGGACUUUUGGAAUUUAACUUUACGUAAACCAACAAAAAAAGGAAACUCUUUCUUUUUCUUUUUUUUUUUCAAAACAGAGCAAAGUUAAAUCCCUAAGUCCUCGAAAUGGUUAGUACAAUGCCAUGAUGUUAUGAUGUUAUGAUGUUAAGUAAACAACAAGCACAAACAAGUCACACGACCAUCAUUCCUAGGUUUUAAG